GGUGGAGUGGUGUAGAGGUUAGCACACCCCACCGGACACUGGGAGGCCCAGAGUUCAAAUCCUAGCUCCGCCG
rfam:Ixodes scapularis strain Wikel colony gcontig_1108379570356, whole genome shotgun sequence.